AUUGAACGCUGGCGGCAUGCUUUACACAUGCAAGUCGAACGAGUGGUGAACGGGGGAGUAAUAUAUCGGAACGUGCCGAGUCAUGGGGGAUAACCAAUCUAAAGAUUGGAUAAUACCGCAUAUUAUUCGAGCGGCCGAUAACUGAUUAGCUAGGUGGGGGGGUAAGGGCAUACCAUGGCGACGAUCAGGAGCGGGGCUGAGAGGAAGAUCCGCCACACUGGUACUGAGACACGGCCCAGACUCCUACGGGAGGCAGCAGUGGGGAAUUUUGGACAAUGGGGGCAACCCUGAUCCAGCCAUGCCGCGUGUAUGAAGAAGGCCUUCGGGUUGUAAAGUACUUUUGUUAGGGAAGCGGUACCUAAAGAAUAAGCACCGGCUAACUACGUGCCAGCAGCCGCGGUAAUUC
rnacentral:rRNA from 1 species